rnacentral:ncRNA from 14 species
CUCGCGAGAACGUAAACAGGCUCUGGUCCGCCGGAUGAAACGGGAAGUCGGUACAAGUCCGGCGCUGCCCCCGCAACGGUAAGGCCUGAUGACGCGUGUCAUCCAGGAGCGACCACAGCCACUGCCCAUCGGGCGGGAAGGCGUCGCCCCGCAAGGCCGAGCCCGGAGACCGGCCUGCGAUUCGGGCGCCGUG